GGCUGAUUAGCUCAGUCGGUUAAAGCGUGGUGCUAGUAAAGCCAAGGUCACAGGUUCGAUCCCCAUAUAGGCCA
rnacentral:tRNA from 1 species